GCCGGAGUAGCUUAGAGGUAAAGCACUCCCUUGGUAAGGGAAAGACCGAGAGUUCGAUUCUCUCCUCCGGCU
rnacentral:tRNA from 1 species